GCGGGUGCGCCGACGUCGGAGAGUCGGGGCUGGCUGUAACCCAGUCGCCAGUGGGCUCAGGGGGUUCGAAUCCCUCCACCCGCA
rnacentral:tRNA from 1 species